GUUGUGGGAGAUUAAAGGAUUUCUCAAACAUUCAUAAAAGAAUCAAGAUAACACUCCAGUUAUGUUCUUGAUGAGGGAGUAACAUUAUAACUUGGUGUAGAGCUCAAAAAAGUCAAUUUUUAAAAUCAGAAGAGCA